GCCGGGUGUGGUGGCGUGUGCCUGUAAUCCCAGCUACUUGGGAGGCUGAGGCGGGAGAAUGGCGUGAACCUGGGAGGCAGAGCUUGCAGUGAGCCGAGAUUGCGCCACUGCACUCCAGCCUGGGUGACAGAGUGAGACUCCGUCUCAAAAAAAAAAAAAAAAAAAAUUUGAUUUUUUUUUUUUUUUUAGACAGUCUUACUCUGUCACCCAGGCUGGAGUGCAGUGGCACAAUCUCAGCUCACUGUAACCUCUGCCUCCCAGGUUCACGCCAUUCUCCUGCCUCAG
rnacentral:SRP_RNA from 1 species